AUGAACGCUGGCGGCAGGCCUAACACAUGCAAGUCGAGCGGAAACGAGUUAUCUGAACCUUCGGGGAACGAUAACGGCGUCGAGCGGCGGACGGGUGAGUAAUGCCUAGGAAAUUGCCCUGAUGUGGGGGAUAACCAUUGGAAACGAUGGCUAAUACCGCAUAAUACCUACGGGUCAAAGAGGGGGACCUUCGGGCCUCUCGCGUCAGGAUAUGCCUAGGUGGGAUUAGCUAGUUGGUGAGGUAAUGGCUCACCAAGGCGACGAUCCCUAGCUGGUCUGAGAGGAUGAUCAGCCACACUGGAACUGAGACACGGUCCAGACUCCUACGGGAGGCAGCAGUGGGGAAUAUUGCACAAUGGGCGCAAGCCUGAUGCAGCCAUGCCGCGUGUGUGAAGAAGGCCUUCGGGUUGUAAAGCACUUUCAGUCGUGAGGAAGGUAGUGUAGUUAAUAGCUGCAUUAUUUGACGUUAGCGACAGAAGAAGCACCGGCUAACUCCGUGCCAGCAGCCGCGGUAAUACGGAGGGUGCGAGCGUUAAUCGGAAUUACUGGGCGUAAAGCGCAUGCAGGUGGUUUGUUAAGUCAGAUGUGAAAGCCCGGGGCUCAACCUCGGAAUAGCAUUUGAAACUGGCAGACUAGAGUACUGUAGAGGGGGGUAGAAUUUCAGGUGUAGCGGUGAAAUG
rnacentral:rRNA from 1 species